GAAACAAAAUAAGAAAAAGAUAAACUGUUCUAAAACAUGUUGUAAGCCUUUGAGGAAAUAGAGGUGAAAUCACCUUUCAUUUCUACUGAGAAAAAUAUCCCAUAUGACCUGAUUAGGUACAAAGUUCUCUAUCUAAGAUCUGAGGUCAAAUAGAAUAUUUAGAGCUUUAUGAUAUCACAGAAUGACCGAAUCACAGGGUUUGGAAGCGACCUCCAGAGAUCAUCAAGUCCCACCCCCCUGCCAAAGCAGGUUCCCUACACCAGGUCUCACAGACUUUGGCUGGCUCCCUGUGCUGCUAUGAAAAUUUUUUGCAUCCAUCUCACUCAGAGGGAAACAGCAGGAUCAAACUUCUCUGUAAAAGGCCUUUUCAUCUGCAAGCACAGAAUUCUGUGCUUGUCUUCGUUGAAUUUCAUGAGUUUCACAUUCUGUAAAUCUGUAAGCAAGAAAAUUGCAGGGGUGAUUUUGCUGCUGCAUUGACUGCGUAUAUAUUCUUGGUAAGCAUUCUUGUUUAUCACAGAUGAUUAAGUUAAUUAUAAUUAGAAGUAUCUUAACGAG